rnacentral:lncRNA from 1 species
CAGUUUCAACGUUCCCACUUUGAGGGGACUCAGAAUCUUUACCACGGACAACAUUUGCCCUAGAGGGCAAAGGAAUAUCAUUUGGCCAAAACGGGGUAGCUACCAGCCCAGACUGACAUCAGCCUAUGGACAGCUGCCCGUGUGGGCCAACAGUAGCACACGUGGCCUCUGGGGCCAACUCCCUGUCAGCCAGGCUGGCUCAGACUUGAUGCUUAUCAGCCUGCUAAGGGUUUGAGAGGACACUCUUGGAAACAUUGCUCCAACUUAAGAGACACGGAACUAGGAAAAAAAAAUCCUUUAUCUAUGGAGCACCUUGAAAUAAUAACUAUAGAAAAUGGCUGUAAGACUGACAUAUGAUCCCCGGAGUUGCAAGAAAAUAACAGCUUAUGGAGCUCCCUGCAUGGGCCAGGCAUAAGCCAAAGGCGGUCUUUAUGCAUGCCACCUCCUGAAUCAUCCUAGAAGCUCUCUAGAAGCAGAGACUACUAUCAUUCCUGUCUUAUAGAGGAAGACACCAAGAGUCAGAUAGGGGAAGUCCAACCAGCAAACCCUUCUGUUGGAGAUGUGGCAACAUGUGGCAAAAGCCUUGAACCAACACCCACUCUUAGCACCACCAAAUCCACUUCUGGGUUUUUAUCUGAAGGCAAUUACCAAGGAUACACAGUCAGCACUGUUUUUAUAGCAAAACCCUGGAAAUAACUGAAGAGCCUGACAAUGGAUAGAGCCAUACAAUGGAAUUCCAUGGAAGCUAUGGAAAAUGAAGGCAUACCCUAUAUUUACGCAUAAAGAUAUAAAGACUUGUCUAAGAUAUUUUCUGUACCAAAUCAAUAUUUGCAUGCAUAUAUAGAGAAAAAAGUCUAGAAGGAUACACUAAAAGACUUAAUAUUAUCUCUAGACUAAGAAUAUACAAGACGAUUCAUAUCAUCUCUCUAGAAGGGAAAAUUAAAUGUGAUUUCUUAUUUUUCUCUUUUGCUUAUUGCUAUUACCUAAAACGGGUUGCUAAACGACAGUCUGAAGGCCACAUCUGGCCCAUUGCUUACUUUUGCAAAUAAAGUUUUACUGGAACAUGGCCACACACGUUUGUUUACGUAUUCCUAUAGCUGCUUUCAGGCUACAACGGCAGAGUCAAAUAACUGUGACAGAGACCAUAAGGCCCACAGGUGGAAAAUAUUUGCCAUCUGGCCUUUUAUAGAAAAAGCUGGCUGACUCCUGAUAUAAAAUGAUCAUAUAUACAUUAGACAUGUAUUUAAAAUAUACUUCAGCUGUGCUCCAAAGGAAAUAUUUAUCUUCCAAAUCCAAAUUUCAGCAAAAUUCAUUCAUUCAUUCAUCUAAACUAUAAAGGUCAGUCAACACUAUUUGCUAAGUGUUUACUACGUUCCAAGCAUUGUUUUAGGCACAAUACCCACAUAAGGUUUCUGCCCUCAAGGUCUCCUGAAUGAAUCAAUGCUGGUAUCAGAGGCAACUGCAAAUGUACAGCAGCACGCAGAGAUGGCUUAGGGUGGCCAGGAGGCCAGGAAGCUAAAGGUAUUGAGGCUAGGCAAGGCCCCAACAUCCAGCCUGAC